CCUACGGGAGGCAGCAGUGGGGAAUAUUGGGCAAUGGACGCAAGUCUGACCCAGCAACGCAGCGUGAAGGAAGAAGGCUUUCGGGUUGUAAACUUCUUUUAAGGGGGAAGAGCAGAAGACGGUACCCCUUGAAUAAGCCACGGCUAACUACGUGCCAGCAGCCGCGGUAAUACGUAGGUGGCAAGCGUUGUCCGGAAUCAUUGGGCGUAAAGAGUUCGUAGGCGGCACGUAAAGUCUGGUGUUAAAGGCAGAGGCUCAACUUCUGUACGGCACUGGAUACUUGCGAGCUAGAAUGCGGUAGAGGUAAAGGGAAUUCCUGGUGUAGCGGUGAAAUGCUUAGAUAUCAGGAGGAACAUCGGUGGCGUAAGCGCUUUACUGGGCCGUAAUUGACGCUGAGGAACGAAAGCCAGGGUAGCAAAUGGGAUUAGAUACCCUUGUAGUC
rnacentral:rRNA from 1 species